rnacentral:rRNA from 1 species
GAUGAACGCUAGCUACAGGCUUAACACAUGCAAGUCGAGGGGCAGCGGGAUGUAGCAAUACAUUGCCGGCGACCGGCGCAAGGGUGCGUAACGCGUGAGCAACAUGCCCGAUACUCAGGGAUAGCCUUCCGAAAGGGAGAUUAAUACCUGAUGGUGUUCAAAUUCCGCAUGUUAUUUGAACUAAAGAUUUAUCGGUAUCGGAUGGGGAUGCGUGACAUUAGAUAGUAGGCGGGGUAACGGCCCACCUAGUCUACGAUGUCUAGGGGUUCUGAGAGGAAGGUCCCCCACACUGGAACUGAGACACGGUCCAGACUCCUACGGGAGGCAGCAGUGAGGAAUAUUGGUCAAUGGUCGAGAGACUGAACCAGCCAAGUAGCGUGAAGGAUGAAGGUUCAUGGAUUGUAAACUUCUUUUAUAUGAGGGUAAUAUACAGGUACGUGUACCUGCUUGAAAGUAUCAUACGAAUAAGG